GACGAACGCUGGCGGCGUGCUUAACACAUGCAAGUCGAACGAUGAUGCCAGCUUGCUGGUGGAUUAGUGGCGAACGGGUGAGUAGCACGUGAGCAACCUGCCCCUGACUUCGGGAUAACCGCGGGAAACCGUGGCUAAUACCGGAUAUGACGCGCUAUCGCAUGGUGGUGUGUGGAAAGAUUUAUCGGUUGGGGAUGGGCUCGCGGCCUAUCAGCUUGUUGGUGGGGUGAUGGCCUACCAAGGCGACGACGGGUAGCCGGCCUGAGAGGGUGACCGGCCACACUGGGACUGAGACACGGCCCAGACUCCUACGGGAGGCAGCAGUGGGGAAUAUUGCACAAUGGGCGCAAGCCUGAUGCAGCGACGCCGCGUGAGGGAUGACGGCCUUCGGGUUGUAAACCUCUUUCAGUAGGGAAGAAGGCCUUCGGGUUGACGGUACCUGCAGAAGAAGCGCCGGCUAACUACGUG
rnacentral:rRNA from 1 species